rnacentral:rRNA from 1 species
UACGUAGGGGGCAAGCGUUGUCCGGAAUUACUGGGCGUAAAGCGCGCGUAGGUGGCUUCGUAAGUCCGCUGUGAAAGUCAAAGGCUCAACCUUUGAAAGCCGGUGGAUACUGUGAAAGCUAGAGUACGGAAGAGGCGAGUGGAAUUCCUGGUGUAGCGGUGGAAUGCGCAGAUAUCAAGGAGGAACACCAAUAGCGAAGGCAGCUCCGCUGGGACGUUACUGACACUGAGGCGCGAAGCGUGGGAGCGAACAGGAAUAGAUACCGGUG